rnacentral:rRNA from 1 species
ACUCCUACGGGAGGCAGCAGUGGGGAAUAUUGCACAAUGGGCGCAAGCCUGAUGCAGCCAUGCCGCGUGUAUGAAGAAGGCCUUCGGGUUGUAAAGUACUUUCAGUCGUGAGGAAGGUUGUAGUGCGAAUAGCACUAUGAUUUGACGUUAGCGACAGAAGAAGCACCGGCUAACUCCGUGCCAGCAGCCGCGGUAAUACA